GAUGAACGCUGGCGGCGUGCCUAAUACAUGCAAGUCGAGCGAACGGACGAGAAGCUUGCUUCUCUGAUGUUAGCGGCGAACGGGUGGGUAACACGUGGAUAACCUACCUAUAAGACUGGGAUAACUUCGGGAAACCGGAGCUAAUACCGGAUAAUAUUUUGAACCGCAUGGUUCAAAAGUGAAAGACGGUCUUGCUGUCACUUAUAGAUGGAUCCGCGCUGCAUUAGCUAGUUGGUAAGGUAACGGCUUACCAAGGCAACGAUGCAUAGCCGACCUGAGAGGGUGAUCGGCCACACUGGAACUGAGACACGGUCCAGACUCCUACGGGAGGCAGCAGUAGGGAAUCUUCCGCAAUGGGCGAAAGCCUGACGGAGCAACGCCGCGUGAGUGAUGAAGGUCUUCGGAUCGUAAAACGCUGUUAUUAGGGAAGAACAUAUGUGUAAGUAACUGUGCACAUCUUGACGGUACCUAAGCAGAAAGCCACGGCUAACUACGU
rnacentral:rRNA from 1 species